GACGAACGCUGGCGGCGUGCUUAACACAUGCAAGUCGAACGGAAAGGCCCUGCUUUUGUGGGGUUCUCGAGUGGCGAACGGGUGAGUAACACGUGAGUAACCUGCCCUUGACUUUGGGAUAACUUCAGGAAACUGGGGCUCAUACCGGAUAUGAGCUCCUGCUGCAUGGUGGGGGUUGGAAAGUUUCGGCGGUUGGGGAUGGACUCGCGGCGUAUCAGCUUGUUGGUGUGGUAGUGGCUUACCAAGGCUUUGACGGGUAGCCGGCCUGGGAGGGUGACCGGCGACAUUGCGACUGAGAUACGGCGCAGACUCCUACGGGAGGCAGCAGGGGGGAGUAUGGCAGAAUGGGCGGAAGCCUGAGGCAGCAACGCCGCGUGCGGGAUGACGGCCUUCGGGUUGUAAACCGCUUUCGACUGUGACGAAGCGUGAGUGACGGUAAUGGGUAAAGAAGCAACGGCUAACUACGUG
rnacentral:rRNA from 1 species